rnacentral:rRNA from 1 species
CUACGGGCGGCUGCAGUGGGGAAUAUUGCACAAUGGAGGAAACUCUGAUGCAGCAACGCCGCGUGGAGGAUGACACUUUUCGGAGCGUAAACUCCUUUUAUAUAGGAAGAAGAUGACGGUACUAUAUGAAUAAGCGCCGGCUAACUCCGUGCCAGCAGUCGCGGUAAUACGGAGGGCGCAAGCGUUACUCGGAAUCACUGGGCGUAAAGAGCGUGUAGGCGGAUUAAAAAGUCAGAAGUGAAAUCCUAUAGCUUAACUAUAGAACUGCUUCUGAAACUCUUAAUCUAGAAUAUGGGAGAGGUAGAUGGAAUUUCUGGUGUAGGGGUAAAAUCCGUAGAGAUCAGAAGGAAUACCGAUUGCGAAGGCGAUCUACUAGAACAUUAUUGACGCUGAGACGCGAAAGCGUGGGGAGCAAACAGGAUAGAUACCCCAGUAGUC